UGUACAUCAUAAAAUCACAUAAAAACAUCAUAAACAUCCAUAAAUUACAAUAAAACAGCAGUUAUAAUAUAUCAAGAUGGCGUCCUAUCUAGAUCUAGUCCCUUUAGCAAGUGGGGGUAAUGGUCCCGGUGGUAUAAGGGGACCAUAGAUCUCAAUAAUGGAUCCCAACCCCCAUCUCC